rnacentral:rRNA from 1 species
UACGGGGGGAGCAAGCGUUGUUCGGAUUUACUGGGCGUAAAGGGCGCGUAGGCGGUCAGCACAAGUCAGUUGUGAAAUCUCCGGGCUUAACUCGGAACGGUCAAGUGAUACUGUCGGACUAGAGUACAGAAGGGGCAACUGGAAUUCUCGGUGUAGCGGUGAAAUGCGUAGAUAUCGAGAGGAACACCUGCGGCGAAGGCGGGUUGCUGGGCUGAUACUGACGCUGAGGCGCGAAAGCGUGGGGAGCAAACAGG